UAGGGAAUCUUCCACAAUGGGCGCAAGCCUGAUGGAGCAACACCGCGUGAGUGAAGAAGGGUUUCGGCUCGUAAAGCUCUGUUGUUAAAGAAGAACACGUAUGAGAGUAACUGUUCAUACGUUGACGGUAUUUAACCAGAAAGUCACGGCUAACUACGUGCCAGCAGCCGCGGUAAUACGUAGGUGGCAAGCGUUAUCCGGAUUUAUUGGGCGUAAAGAGAGUGCAGGCGGUUUUCUAAGUCUGAUGUGAAAGCCUUCGGCUUAACCGGAGAAGUGCAUCGGAAACUGGAUAACUUGAGUGCAGAAGAGGGUAGUGGAACUCCAUGUGUAGCGGUGGAAUGCGUAGAUAUAUGGAAGAACACCAGUGGCGAAGGCGGCUACCUGGUCUGCAACUGACGCUGAGACUCGAAAGCAUGGGUAGCGAACAGGAUUAGAUACCCUGGUAGUCCAUACCGUAAACGAUGAGUGCUAGGUGUUGGAGGCUUUCCGCCCUUCAGUGCCGGAGCUAACGCAUUAAGCACUCCGCCUGGGGAGUACGACCGCAAGGUUG
rnacentral:rRNA from 1 species